GGAGAAAACAGUCCACAAAGAAAAGAAGAAGGAGAUGGUAGAGGAUGAGGAAAAUGGAGCUGAAGAGGAUGAGGAAGAGAAUCCUGAUGACGUGGAUGAAGAAGAAGGUGGUGAUGAGGAUGACGAAGGGGACGAGAAUGGGCAAGAACAGGAUGGUCAUGCGGAAAAACGAUCUGCAGAGGAGGAAGAGGAUGAAGUGGAUCCAAAGAGACAGAAGACAGAAAACGGGUCUUCAGCUUGAGUCCUCCCCUCCCAUCUCCUCUGUUCCGUCCAUCUCUCCUCCUCCAUUCCAGCCUGUGCUUGCACUGCCCAUUAGCCUCUGGCUUCACACAAUCUCAGAUGAGGGAAGAUUAGAAAUGCUCUCAAACAGGGAAGACAGAAGUUUCCUUCUCACCCGAAGAUCUAGCCCAUCUGUGACAUUCCCCAGCUGAAAUUAUUCCAGUCCCCCGUGCCCCAUUCACAAAUGAUCCUCUUCCCCCCAAGAAUCUCAUUGUUUCCUGGGGCCUAGUACCUAACUUUGCCAGGCCCGUGUGCCAGGCUUUUCGCGUGGCAAGCACCUCUCUUUCCAUUGUCACUUGCCCUCCUUUUUUUGUCACUAGUAGGACUGAGAUUCUUGACAGCUUCUGCUCCCCAGACCUGCUGUCAGAUAUCCUCCCUGAGUCCAGGAGGCUGCGGGCACAGAUCUCAUGGUGCAUUUUCCAGUCCUAGGCCUCCUCUCGUCUGCUUUCCCGUUGAACCCCGAGAGACAAAGAAAAAGAAUAUUACAAGCAAAUAACGGUUCUAUUAAACCGCACAUGGAGACAGAAUUUAUUUUAAGCUUUUUUUUUUUUCCAAGUUUACAUGACAGCAAGCUGGCCCUCGUGAAUUUUUCAGAAGAUAAGGGUUGUUUUUAUAUAUGAAUUUCAUCUGAACUGCAUGUUUUUUUAAUUUGGAGGCUUUUUUAAAACAAAUCAAGAGAGAAACAAUUGGGGACCAAACUUUGAUUUCCAUUUUUUCCCUUCAGAUUUUCUUGUGACCAUUUUUUGUAAAUUAAAGGCAAUACAGCCACAGCAUUUUCUAUGGCACAGAUAUCACGAGGAUGAUAGAUAUAAAUAUAUAUUGUUUUCAACUAGCACUGUAAAUAAAAGCGUUUAAAAAUAUUUCAA